rnacentral:rRNA from 1 species
GAUGAACGCUGGCGGCGUGCCUAAUACAUGCAAGUCGAGCGAACAGAUGAGGAGCUUGCUCCUCUGACGUUAGCGGCGGACGGGUGAGUACCACGUGGAUAACCUACCUAUAAUACUGGGAUAACUUCGGGAAACCGGAUCUAAUACCGGAUAAUAUAUUGAACCGCAUGGUUCAAUAGUGAAUGUCGUUUUUUCUGUUUCUUAUAUAUGGAUCCGAACCGCUUUAGCGAGUUGGUAAUGUAAGGUCUUACUAAGGGAACGAUGCGUAGCAGACCAGAGAGGGGGAUCGGCCACAGUGGAAGUGAGACACGGGCCAGACUCCGACGGGAGGCAGCAGUAGGGAAUCUUGAGCAGUGGGAGAAAGGUUGACGGAGCAACGCGGGGUGAGUGAUGAAGGUCAUCGGAUCGGAAAACGCUGUUAUUAGGGAAGAACAAAUGUGUAAGUAACUAUGCACGUAUUGAAGGUACCGAAUCAGAAAGCCACGCCUAACUACGG